rnacentral:rRNA from 1 species
GUCCACACCGUAAACGUUGGGCGCUAGGUGUGGGAUCCAUUCCACGGGUUCCGUGCCGCAGCUAACGCAUUAAGCGCCCCGCCUGGGGAGUACGGCCGCAAGGCUAAAACUCAAAGGAAUUGACGGGGGCCCGCACAAGCGGCGGAGCAUGCGGAUUAAUUCGAUGCAACGCGAAGAACCUUACCUGGGUUUGACAUAUGCCGGAAACGUCUGGAGACAGGCGCCCUUUUUGUCGGUAUACAGGUGGUGCAUGGCUGUCGU